rnacentral:rRNA from 1 species
CCUACGGGUGGCAGCAGUGGGGAAUAUUGGACAAUGGGGGGAACCCUGAUCCAGCCAUGCCGCGUGUGUGAAGAAGGCCCUCGGGUUGUAAAGCACUUUCAGUGAGGAAGAACGCCUGGUGGUUAAUACCCAUCAGGAAAGACAUCACUCACAGAAGAAGCACCGGCUAACUCCGUGCCAGCAGCCGCGGUAAUACGGAGGGUGCGAGCGUUAAUCGGAAUUACUGGGCGUAAAGCGCGCGUAGGUGGCUUGAUAAGCCGGUUGUGAAAGCCCCGGGCGCAACCUGGGAACGGCAUCCGGAACUGUCAAGCUAGAGUGCAGGAGAGGAAGGUAGAAUUCCCGGUGUAGCGGUGAAAUGCGUAGAGAUCGGGAGGAAUACCAGUGGCGAAGGCGGCCUUCUGGACUGACACUGACACUGAGGUGCGAAAGCGUGGGUAGCAAACAGGAUUAGAUACCCCUGUAGUC